UAUUAUUUGAAAUCUUCCCAUAAGGAAAGAGUCGGUUUCUAGCAAAGAUACAAAGCUUCAUUGUUGGAAUGUAGUUAACAAAAACAAAUCCAUAUUUUGAAUUUGAGUGAAAGUGUUGCAUAUUUUUACUG